GUUCACCUAACAGGUUGAAAUUUUAACCAAACACGGGGCCCCAGCUCAGUCCUCAAUGUCCCCUUAGCAGUUUCAGCAUUUGAAAGACCAGCAAGAAAUGAUUAUUCAGCAGCCAAAUACCCCUGAAAAUGAUGAACUUCCUCCAGUCCCUCAAGAGUCCACAACUCAGUCUCCAACUCGGCUCUCCUCAGACUUUGUAAGGUCAUUGAAUGAUGAGAUGGUAUUUUUGCCUCUAGAUCUGUCUUUAAUAUUCAGAAACAAUUCAACUUUCCCUAAUACCACAGUUAAAAAUAUGGAUAUGGACCUCACCAUACCUACAGAAGUCACUAUGGAGGUUGGACCUUCCCCAGUCCAGCAGGACAAUCCUAUUCCCACUGAGUAGGCUGACUUUUCUCCAACCCAACAUGAUACCCCUUCCCCACCCCUGGAUUCUCCUGAAAAGAUUGAAUCUCCAUCACAGCAUGAGGCCACAGCUCAGACCCCAUAUUCCCCUAAAGGGGUGGAAUUUUCUCCAGUCCAGCAAGAGUCCCCAGCUGAGGCACCAGAGCUCCCUAAGCAGGUUGAACCAUCUGCAACCCAGCAGGAAGCCUCAAGUCAUCCUCCAAAGUCCACUGCAGAGGUCAGUCCACCAUAGCUGAAGAUACCAGCUCAGCCAUCAGUCACCUGAGAAGGUCAAACCAUCUUCAGUCCUACAGCAGGCCUCAACUCAGCUUUUAGAGCCACCUGAAGAGGUACGAUCCUCUCCAGUCCAGUAGGCAGUGCCUGCUCAGUCUUCAGAGCCCUAUGGUGGUAGAAUCUUCUUUGACACAGCAGAUGGCCGCAUCUUUGCCGCCAAAUCUCCCUCAGGAGGUGGAACCAUCUCUAACUCAGCAGGAGGGUCCAACUCAGACUCGAGAGCCCCCUGUGGAGACAGAACCUUCUCCAGCUCAGCAGAAGGCCACAGUUCAGGCUCCAGAGCCUCCUAAGGAGGCAAAAACUUCAAGUCAGUAGAUGGUCCCAGCUCAGCUUCCAGAGCCCCCUAAGGGAGUUGCAGUUCAACCUCUAAUGCAUUAUGAGACGACAAUUAUAACAGCAAGCCAGGACCAAGCUCAGUAUCCAGCAUUAUGAAAUGACAAUUCCAACAGCAGGCCAAGACCAAGCUCAGUAUCCAGCAUCACCCAGUGUCACAUUUCAACCUUUACACAUGGAGCUUACCAUAAUUCCAGAACCCACUAUGGAGGCUGAGCAUUCUAUAAUGCUGAGGAUGACUACAGCUCCUCCAAAACACCCUGAGGUGACCCUUCCACCUUCAGACCAUGUGCAGGUUCAGCACAAACCUGAGGCCACAGUGCAACCUUUGGAUCUGAAAUUUACCACGAAUCGACAACCUACUACAGAGGGUAUAUUUUCUCCAACCAUGGAGAAUUCAACCUAGCUUGCAGAGCAACCUAUGGAGGUUGUAACUCAACCUCCAGCUCAUUAUGAGGUGACAGUUCCAGUACAAGGUCAGGAUCAAGCUUGGCAUUCAACACUGGCCAGUGUCACACUUCAACCUUUGGACCUGGGGCUUAUCGUCACUCUAGGAUCCACUAUAGAGGUUGAACUUUUCCAGCCAUGCAGGAGACCCCAACUCAGCAUCCUCAGGAAGUUAUACCUUAACCUCCAGUAUUUCAAGAGGUAACAAUUUCAACACCAGGUCAGGAUCAAGCUCAGCAUUGAAUAUCACCUAGCAUUACAGUUAAAACUCUGUACCUGGGACUUACCAUAACUCCAGAACCCACUACAGAGGUUGAACAUUCUACAGCCCUGAAGAAGACUAUAGUUCCUCCAAAGCACCCUGAGGUGACACUUCCACAUCCACACCAGGUUCAGACUUGGCAUUCAAACCUGACUCAAGUCACAUUUCAACCUUUGGAUCCGAAACUUACCUUAACUCCAGAAUCCUCUAUGAAGGUUGAACCUUCAACCAUGCAUAAAACCCCAAAUCAGCCUCCAGAGCUAAUUAAGGAGGUUGUAGUUUUCCCUCCUGGGUAUUAUAAUGAGAUGUCUGUUCCAACACAAGGCCAGGAUCAAGCUAAGCAUCCAACAUCAGUCAGUGUCACAGUUCAACCUUUGGAACUGAGGCUUACCAUUACUCCAGAAUUCACUACAAAGGUUGAACCUUCUAGAGCCAUGAUGACUACAGCUUCUCUGCCAAAGCUCCCUAAGGUGACACUUCCACCAUGAGACAAGGGUCAAUACUCAGCACUCAAACCAGACCCAAGUCACAGUUCAACUUUUGGACUUGGAACUUAUCAUAAGUAUAGAACCUACUACAGGGGUGAACAUUUUCCAAUCACAGAGGAGACCACAACUCAGCCUCCAGACCUGGGGCUUGCCAUAACUCUAGCCCUAUAUAGACAUUGAGCAUUCUACAGCCCUGGACAAGACUACAGCUCCACGUCCAGACCAGGUUCAGACUCAGCAUCAAAACCUGACUAAAGUCAGAGGUCCACCUUUGAACUAGAACCUACUCAGGAUUCAUUGAUUCAGUCUGAAAGUUAAGCCCAAAAUAAGGCUUUAACUGCACAAGAGGAACAGAAGGCCUCCACAAGCACUAACAUAUGUGAGUUCUGUACCUGCAGAGAUGAGACACUGUCGUGUAUUGAUCUCAGCCCAAAGCAGAGGCUCCACCAAGUGCCUAGCCAGAACCCAGCACCUACAAUGGCACCUUCACCAUCUUGUAAGAAUCACCUUUCCUCAAUUGUUCUCUGUGUGCUGCCUAAUAUGGCAGUUUUUCCUGGAGGCCUUCCUGGGCCUUCUUUAAUCUCACCAAACCACAUGGACAACUGACUUUCUGCUUUCGCUUUUGCCUGUCAUCUCUUCCUUCUCCUCAUUCUCCUUUACUGUUAGGCCCCUUCUCUGGUCUUUUACUUGUGAUUGCUCUUAAUCCUUUUCUUAUCCAUUUUUCUUUAUCCCCAUCACAUCGUUGCUUAACUGCUGCUCUCCUCCUAUUUGCACUUCACCCUCUUUACAGCACUCUGUCUCUCUCUCCGUCUCAGUGAUAGUGUUCUAGGUGGUUAAGAGUGGAUUCUGGAGCCAGGUUACUAGGUUCAAACCCAGGUCUGUCAUUUAUUAGCUUGGUUACCCUGAACAAGUUAUUCUUCUCUGUGACUCAGUUUCCUCAUCUUUAAACUGGGGAUUAUGCUAGUUACCAUUUCAUAGGAUUGUUGUGAAAUUUAGGUGAGUGAAUACCUGUAAUACUUGCAUCAGUCCUUAGUAUAUGUAGGAGCGGUGACUGUUAACAUUACUUAGCUCUUUAGUUAUGUCCAGAACUCAUCUUUGUCCCUGACUUUCUAUAUGUAGCACCCGUUUUGUGUCCAACCGAGGGACAAGUAUGACACUGUCUCCAGAACAUGAAAACUAUAGAAGACAAUAAGCAUAAAAAUGGAGGUGUAAAUAAUAAAGUACUAAAACAUAAUGUAGACCAUCAGUGCUAGAAUUCACCAGAAUCUGUGAUCCUUGAGUUAUGGAGGUCAGGGGAAGCUGCAUCAAUAAACUAAAAAUUUACCUGGGGCUUAAAGAUUAGCUAUAAUUUGUUAAAUAAGAAAAAAUAGGAGUACAGUCUAGGCAAAGGCAUGGUUACAGGUGUGGUCGAAGUUGAGUAGAAUGGCCCAAGCUCAGCCUCCAGAGAACCCCGAGGAGGUGGACUCUUCCUCAACCCAAUUAAAAGCCCCAGCUCAGAUACCAGAGCGCCCUGAGGAGAUUAAAUCUUCAGCAACCCAGCAAGGGACUCUGGCUGAGCCUCCAGGUCCUCCUGUGGCAGCCGAACCUUCCUCCAGUAAGCAGGAGCAGCCAGCUCAGCCUUCUGAGUUUCCUGGGGAGGUUGAACCUUUUCAGACCCAGCAGGAGACCCCAGUUCAGCCUCCAGAGUCUUCUAUGAAGAAUGCAGCUCAAACUCCACUGAAUCAUGGGUGACAAUUUAACCUCAGGGUAAGGGUGGAGCUCAUUACACAUUGCCAAGCAUUACAGUUAAACCUGUGGAUGUACAGAUUAGCGUAACUUCAGAGCCUACCAAGGAUAAUGAAUCUUCUCCAGUCCAGCAGGAGGCCCCAACCUACCCUCCAGAGGAGGUGAAAACUUACACAACCCAAGAGGAGGCCCCAACUGAGCCUCCAUGUUCUCCUGUGGAGACUGAUCCUUUUCUCUGUGAACAUGAGCAGCCUUCUGAGUCUCCUGGGAGGUUGAAUUUUCUCCAACCUAGCAGGAGAUUCCAGCUCAGCCUUGAAAACAUUAUGAGGUAACAGUUUCACCUCCAGGUCACCAUCAAGCUCAGUCCUUAAUGUCCCCUGAAAAGUUUAACCAUUUGAAAGAUGAGCAAGAGAUUAUCAUUCAGCAGUUAACUACCCCUGAAAAUGAUGAACUUUCUCCUCUUGCUCAAAAGCCCACAACUUGGUCUCCAGCUCAGCUCUCCUCAGACAUUGUAAGUCCACUGAAUGAUGAGAUGGAAUUUUUCACCUGAAGAUCUGUCUUCACUAUUCAGAAAUAAUUCAACUUGGCCUAAACUCACAGUUAAAAAUGUGAAUAUAGAGUUUACCAUACCUACAGUAGUCACUACAGAGAUUGAACCUUCUCCAGUCCAGCAGGACAACCCUCCUAUUUCCAAUGAGCAGAACUGACUUUUCUCUAGCCCAGCCUAAUUCCCCUUUCCUACCUCUGGAAUCUCCUGAAGAGAGUGAAUCUUCAGCCCAGCAAGAGGCUACAGCUCAGACUCCAAAUCCCCCUAAGGAGGUAAAUCCUUCUGCAGUCCAGCAAGAGUUUCCAGCUAAGCUCAGCCAUCAGAGCCACCUGAGAAGGUUGAACUAUCUCCAGUCCUACAGCAGGCCCUAAUUCAGCUUUUAGAGCCACUUAAAAAGGUAGAAUCCUCUCCAGUCCAGCAGGCAGUCCCUGCUCAGUCUUCAGAGUCCUCUAUUGUGGUAGAACCCUCUCCAGUCCAGCAGAUAGCCCAUCUUUGCCUCCACAGCUCCCUCAGCAAGUGGAACCCUCUCUAACUCAGCAAAACUUUCCAGCUCAGACUCCAUACCCGCUGUGAAGGCAGAGCCUUCUCCAAACCAGCAGGAGGCCACAGUUCAGACUUCAGAGCCCCCCCCCCCACAAGAAUAUAGAACUUUCAAGCCAGCAGAUGGUCCCAGGUCAGCUUCCAGAGCCACCUAAGCAGGUUGCAGCUCAACCUCCAAUGCGUUAUGAGAUGACAGUUUCAACAGCAAGGCAGGACAAAGCUCAGUAUCCAGUAUCACCCAGUAUCACAUUUCAACCUUUAGACCUGGGGCUUACCAUAACUCCAGUAUCCACGAAGGAGGCUGAGCAUUUGACAACCCUGAGGAAAACUGCAUUCCUUCAAAACACCCUGAAGUGACGCUUCCAACUCCAGACCAUGUGCAGACUCAGCACACAAACCUAACUGAGGUCACAGUUUAACCUUUGAAUCUGAAACUUACCACAACGCCACAACAUACUACAGAGGAUUUCCUCCAACCAUGGAGAACGCAAAUCAACUUCCAGAACCACCUACAGAGGUUGGAGCUCAACUUCCAUCUCAUUAAGCAGUGACAGUUCCAACACAAGGUCAGGAUCAAGCUCAGCAUUCAACACUGGCCAGUGUCACACUUCAACCUUUUGACCUGGGGUUUAUCAUCACUCCAGAAUCCACUACAAAAAUUGAACUUUCUCCAACCAUGCAGGAGACCCCAACUCAGCCUCCUAAGGAAGUUGUACCCCAACCUCCAGUAUAUCAAGAGGUGACAGUUCCAACACCAGGUCAGGAUCAAGCUCAGCAUCCAAUGUCACCCAUCGUUACAGUUCAACCUCUGGACCUGGUGGACUUAGCAUAACUCCAGAACCCACUACAGAGGUUGAACAUUCUAUAUCCCUGAAGAAGACUGUAGUUCCUCUGAAGCACCCUGAGGUGACACUUCCACAUCCACACCAGGUUCAGACUUUACAUUCAAACCUGAGUCAAGUCACAGUUCAACCUUUGGGUCUGGAACUUACCUUAACUCUAUGGAGGUUGAACCUUCUCCAACCAUGCAGAAGACCCCAACUCGGCCUCCAGAGCUACCUAAGGAGUCUGUAGCUCAA